UACAGAGGGUGCGAGCGUUAAUCGGAUUUACUGGGCGUAAAGCGUGCGUAGGUGGUGAGUUAAGUCUGUCGUGAAAGCCCCGGGCUCAACCUGGGAAUGGCGAUGGAUACUGGCUCGCUAGAGUGCGGUAGAGGAGAGUGGAAUUCCCGGUGUAGCAGUGAAAUGCGUAGAUAUCGGGAGGAACACCAGUGGCGAAAGCGGCUACCUGGCCCAUUCUUGACGCUGAGGCGCGAAAGCUAGGGGAGCAAACGGG
rnacentral:rRNA from 1 species